rnacentral:rRNA from 1 species
UAGGGAAUCUUCGGCAAUGGACGGAAGUCUGACCGAGCAACGCCGCGUGAGUGAGGAAGGUUUUCGGAUCGUAAAGCUCUGUUGCCAGGGAAGAAGGGUAAGGAGAGUCACUGCUCUUUACUUGACGGUACCUGAGAAGAAAGCCCCGGCUAACUACGUGCCAGCAGCCGCGGUAAUACGUAGGGGGCAAGCGUUGUCCGGAAUUAUUGGGCGUAAAGCGCGCGCAGGCGGUUCUUUAAGUCUGGUGUAUAAGCCCGUGGCUCAACCACGGGACGCACUGGAAACUGGGGGGCUGGAGUGCAGGAGAGGAAAGUGGAAUUCCACGUGUAGCGGUGAAAUGCGUAGAGAUGUGGAGGAACACCAGUGGCGAAGGCGACUUUCUGGCCUGUAACUGACGCUGAGGCGCGAAAGCGUGGGGAGCAAACA